rnacentral:rRNA from 1 species
GACGAACGCUGGCGGCGUGCUUAACACGUGCAAGUCGAACGGAAAGGCCCUGCUUGCAGGGUGCUCGAGUGGCGAACGGGUGAGUAACACGUGGGUGAUCUGCCCCUUACUUUGGGAUAAGCCUGGGAAACUGGGUCUAAUACUGGAUAGGACCAUGCUGUAGGUGGUGUGGUGGAAAGAUUAGUUUCGGUAAGGGAUGAGCUCGCGGCCUAUCAGCUUGUUGGUGGGGUAAUGGCCUACCAAGGCGUCGACGGGUAGCCGGCCUGAGAGGGUGGACGGCCACAUUGGGACUGAGAUACGGCCCAGACUCCUACGGGAGGCAGCAGUGGGGAAUAUUGCACAAUGGGCGCAAGCCUGAUGCAGCGACGCCGCGUGGGGGAUGACGGCCUUCGGGUUGUAAACUCCUUUCAGCCAUGACGAAGCCCUUGUGGUGACGGUAGUGGUAGAAGAAGCACCGGCUAACUACGUG